CAAAAACAUGUUCUUUUGUUUAUUUAUUUAAGGUUUGCCCUGCCCAAUGAUUUAUUUAAUGGCCGCAGUAUUUUAACUGUGCUAAGGUAGCAUAAUCAUUUGUCUUUUAAUUGAGGGCUGGAAUGAAUGGUUGGACGAAAUAUAGACUUUCUUUAAUUUAUUUUAAGAAUUUAAUUUUUAGGUUAAAAAGCUUAAAUAUUUUUAAGGGACGAGAAGACCCCGUAGAUCUUUAUAUUUAAUUUAAUUUUAGGGUUUGGCUGGUUUAUUAUAUUUAAUUGAAUAGGUAUUUGGUUGGGGUGAUUGUAGAAUUUAAAUAACUUCUAUUUAUUAUUUCAUUUAUGUAUGUUUAUUUGAUCCAUUUUUAUUGAUUAUAAGUUUAAGUUACCUCGGGGAUAACAGCGUAAUUUCUUUGGGGAGUUCGAAUCUAUGAAGAAGUUUGCGACCUCGAUGUUGGAUUAAAAUAAGACUUUUGUGUAGCAGUAAAGGUUCUACGUCUGUUCGACCUUUAAAUUUUUACAUGAUCUGAGUUCA
rnacentral:rRNA from 1 species